AUCAGUUUUAGCCUCAACCAUCUUUAAUAAACCAUCUGUGAGAUUAAGGAAUCAAAGGGAAACAUGUUGCUUUCCAUAAUUGUUUUACAUAUGGGAGGUAAGUCAUGAGAAGCUCUAAGGCUUUUAUUUAGCAUUUGUAUGUUUUCUUGAAAAAUAUGUUAAUGUGGAGGACAAGUUAUUGGUACCUAUGUUUAAUAUGGUAUCCCUUGUAGAUGGAAUUUUGACUAUGAAAAAUAUAACAAAUGCUGAUAUUAUUAUUAUUGUUUAUAAUAUAUAUGUACUCACCGAGCUACAUAAGUACCAUUUUGUUUGUAUCUGACAUUGAGAGUGUUCAGUUUUGACUACACAUGUCUAAAGUUUGCCCAAAAUUUGUAGGUGUUCUAGAUAGCAUCACAAUGUUAGCUGCUUUCCAUGGCUGAGAUGCUAAUGGUUAGUGUAUGAAGUUAGUUCUAAGGUUUUCAUUCUUCAAUCAAAAUUAGCAUAGCACAUUAAAUAGUAGUUGUCUUCUUUGUAAAUUCUUUUCUAAUAUAGAACAUAUAGUGGACUUUUAUGUUUUGAGUAAGUCUAUAAUGUGCCCUAGUGUUUUAUGUAAAAUGACAAAAAUUAAGAUUUCUAGUGACGGGUCUUUUUUUUUUUUUGCUAUUCCAGUAUUGAAUCUGACCCACGUCUCUGCAUGAUGCCACAUCUCCCAGCAGAUGGAACAGCAAAGAAAUCCAACUGAUUUUAAAGUUUAUCAGCUAGGCCGGUAUCUCUGAUGAC